UUGUCCUUGACUUUUAUUUUCAUACACAAAAUACAUGGUGGAACCUUCUAAGACAUUUGAAGGACAUGAAGAACAUGAAGAUAGUGCUAAUGAAGAGCUUGAUAUGUUCCUAAAUAAUCAUCGAAUCAACGAUUUGCCAAAGAACCAAAUUUGGGGUCUGCAGAAAGUUCAAACAGCAACUAGCGAAAUGAGCGACGUCAUUGCGUCUGCUCAGUUUGUUCUAAGAGCUUUCCUCUCAGGCCUUAGUAGAGCAUCAGACUGGCCACGAGCCUCGGUAUGCUUGUUGGCGUGACAUUGAAGAAAAGAACAAUGAAACAUAUCAUGUUUUCUAACGCCAACUGAAGGCCCUUUCACUAGACCUCAUCUCUUAUCGGUGUCUAGACGAUGACCGACAUAUUUCUUGGCCUUUUUUCAAUGGGGUCCGGCUUCUUUUGGUCGUGAAUGAUAGUGCUACAUGUAAUUUAUUCUCAUUGGUGCCAUAUAUGUGUUAUCUGAUGUACUAGAUCGUAUUCUCUGUUUGUUAAGCAGCAAAAUGAAAAAAAAUGGUUUAUGAAUACCAGCAAUAUCUCAAUAAAUGAAUUUUCUCUUUUGGAUUGUA